UACGUAGGGUGCAAGCGUUGUCCGGAAUUAUUGGGCGUAAAGAGUUCGUAGGCGGUUGCCUAAGUCUGGUGUUAAAUACAGGAGCUCAACUCCUGCAUGGCACUGGAAACUGGGUAGCUAGAGUGUGGUAGAGGUCACGGGAAUUCCAGGUGUAGCGGUGAAAUGCGUAGAUAUCUGGAGGAACACCAGUGGCGAAAGCGCGUGACUGGGCCACAACUGACGCUGAGGAACGAAAGCGUGGGUAGCAAACAGG
rnacentral:rRNA from 1 species